GUGGACCUGACGUACAGUCGGCAGUAUUCAGCCUGCUGAGCUACCUCACCCCGCUAUCACAUGCCUCAGUGAUUUGCGGGUGUUGGUGUGGGCAGUGGGUGCAUUUGCUGCCGAUGAGUGCUAGAACCUGUGCUGGUGCUGGAUAUGCGGUUGCGAGUGCCGGCCACUUCUGUGGUGUCCCAUCGCUUCCCUAAACCGGGUCACCUGUACAGGAAUCAUUUUGACACCCGCCUCUACUUGUCAGCGUGGCAAACCUUGCCAAUUGACCUGCGUUUUCAUGCUUGCAUGACUGCGCGAAGCUUGGUUUGGCCUGUAGCGCGCGCGAGUUGGUGUCUGAUUCUGGCGUUUUUGUCAGUCACCCACCCGACCCGUCUUGAAACACGGACCAAGGAGUCUAACAUGUGCGCAAGUCACUGGGUGGCAAAACCCAAAGGCUCAAUGAGAGUGAAGGUCAGUUUGGCUGACUGUCGUGGGAACUUCUGGCUUGCCAGUGGUGCACCAUGGUCCCAUCCAUGCUGCAUCGUCAGCGGGGUGGAGAUUGAGCGUACACGUUGGGACCCGAAAGAUGGUGAACUAUGCCUGAGCAGGAUGAAGCCAGAGGAAACUCUGGUGGAGGUCCGUAGCGAUUCUGACGUGCAAAUCGAUCGUCGGACUU
rnacentral:rRNA from 1 species